rnacentral:rRNA from 1 species
ACGAACGCUGGCGGCAUGCCUAACACAUGCCAGUCGAACGAGACCUUCGGGUCUAGUGGCGCACGGGUGCGUAACGCGUGGGAACCUGCCCUUAGGUUCGGAAUAACUCCCCGAAAGGGGUGCUAAUACCGGAUAAUGUCUUCGGACCAAAGAUUUAUCGCCUUUGGAUGGGCCCGCGUUGGAUUAGCUAGUUGGUAGGGUAAAAGCCUACCAAGGCGACGAUCCAUAGCUGGUCUGAGAGGAUGAUCAGCCACACUGGGACUGAGACACGGCCCAGACUCCUACGGGAGGCAGCAGUGGGGAAUAUUGGACAAUGGGCGAAAGCAUGAUCCGGCAAUGCCGCGUGAGUGAUGAAGGCCUUAGGGUUGUAAAGCUCUUUUACCCGGGAUGAUAAUGACAGUACCGGGAGAAUAAGCUCCGGCUAACUCCGUG